GGUCACUGCUAUUGGGAUUCGACUAAGCCAUGCGAGUCGUGAGGGUUCGGCCCUCGGCAGACGGCUCAGUAACACGUAGAUAAUUUGCCCUUAGGUGGAGGAUACCCUCGGGAAACUGAGAAUAAUACUCCAUAGAUCUAAACUGCUGGAAUGCUUUUAGAUUGAAAGAUUUAUCGCCUAAGGAUAAGUCUGCGGACUAUCAGGUUGUAGUUAGGGUAAAUACCUGACUAGCCUACGACGGAUACGGGUAGUGAGAGCUUUAGCCCGGAGAUGAUAUCUGAGACACGAUAUCAGGCCCUACGGGGCGCAGCAGGCGCGAAAACUUCGCAAUGUGCGAAAGCACGACGAGGGAAUCCCAAGUGCUGGCUCGUAAGAGUCAGCUGUUUCUCUGUCUAAAAAACAGGGAGAGUAAGAGCUGGGUAAGACGGGUGCCAGCCGCCGCGGUAAUACCUGCAGCUCAAGUGGUGGCCGCUAUUAUUGGGCCUAAAACGUCCGUAGCCGGUUUCAUAAAUGCCUGGGUAAAUCGUACGGCUUAACCGUAUGAAUUCCGGGUAGACUGUUUAACUUGAGACCGGGAGAGGCUAGAGGUACUCCUGGGGUAGAGGUGAAAUUCUGUAAUCCUAGGGGGACCACCAGUGGCGAAGGCGUCUAGCUAGAACGGGUCUGACGGUGAGGGACGAAGCCCUGGGGAGCAAACGGGAUUAGAUACCCCGGUAGUCCAGGGUGUAAACGCUGCUCGCUUGAUGUUAGUCGGGCUCCGAGCCCAACU
rnacentral:rRNA from 1 species